AUGCUCCUCUCUCAAGACUGGUAUACUUUCUCACUCUACUCCCUUUACAAAUGCCCUGAUCGAACUUUGCUGAUGAAAUUAUCUUUUCUUAGUUUCUUAGACUUUGGAUGGUGGAGACCUGUGCCUGCUACUUCUCUCAUCUCCCGAUACCUAAUGCAUAGUGUUCAGGCACCAAGGAAGAGAACCAAUGGCAGAAGUCACACGUGCAAGCAAGAUGGGAGUCUGGAGAGCCUCAGGCUAAAUCACCAGUGCUCAGCCCUCUUCUCUUUCCCCAGUAGGGGCCUUGCCUCUCCAGUGUACCCGGCUUUUGAAGGACCUUGUCUCCAUGUUUCCAUUGUUGAUGGAAGGACCGUGGCAGGACUUUGCUUUCCAGUGCCACUAUUAUGUCAGCAGGCUAGCCCUGAACCCCACAUGUUCAAAAAACGUGGCUAUACCAACUCGUCACAGUGCCCAUCCCACUUUCUAGAAGACUUUGAUAUCUCACUCAGAGCAACUCCUGCCAGGAGUUUAUAUUGUGUGCAGCUGAUUCAGGCAGUAACUUCCACUCAGCGAGGGGGUCCAUUUAAGAAAAAUUACUUCUCUUCCUUUUAUGCCCAGUAUGGUUCUUAA
rnacentral:lncRNA from 1 species